UACAGAGGGUGCAAGCGUUGUUCGGAAUUAUUGGGCGUAAAGCGAGUGUAGGCGGGAUGGCAAGUCGGGUGUGAAAGCCCUCAGCUCAACUGAGGAAGUGCGCUCGAAACUACCGUUCUUGAGUGUCGGAGAGGGUGACGGAAUUCCCGGUGUAGAGGUGAAAUUCGUAGAUAUCGGGAGGAACACCAGUGGCGAAGGCGGUCACCUGGACGAACACUGACGCUGAGACUCGAAAGCGUGGGUAGCAAAC
rnacentral:rRNA from 1 species